rnacentral:rRNA from 1 species
CCUACGGGAGGCAGCAGUGAGGAAUAUUGGUCAAUGGCCGAGAGGCUGAACCAGCCAAGUCGCGUGAGGGAAGACGGCCCUACGGGUUGUAAACCUCUUUUGUCGGGGAGUAAAGCGAACUACGUGUGGUUCACUGAGAGUACCCGAAGAAAAAGCAUCGGCUAACUCCGUGCCAGCAGCCGCGGUAAUACGGAGGAUGCAAGCGUUACUCGGAAUUAUUGGGCGUAAAGGGCGCGUAGGCGGGAUAGAAAGUCAGAUGUGAAAUCCUCUGGCUUAACCAGAGAACUGCAUUUAAUACUGUUAUUCUAGAGAAUAGGUGAGGUAGGUGGAAUUCUUGGUGUAGGGGUAAAAUCCGUAGAGAUCAAAAGGAAUACUCAUUGCGAAGGCGGCCUGCUAGAACAUAACUGACGCUGAUGCGCGAAAGCGUGGGGAGCAAACAGGAUUAGAUACCCGAGUAGUC